rnacentral:rRNA from 1 species
GACGUAGGAGGCGAGCGUUGUCCGGAUUCAUUGGGCGUAAAGAGCGCGCAGGCGGCUUGGUAAGUCGGAUGUGAAAUCCCCGGGCUCAACCCGGGAACUGCGUCCGAUACUGGCGGGCUUGAAUCCGGGAGAGGGAUGCGGAAUUCCAGGUGUAGCGGUGAAAUGCGUAGAGAUGUGGAGGAACACCUGUGGCGAAGGCGCCUUGCUGGCCGAUUCUGACGCUGAGGCGCGAAAGCGUGGGGAGCAAACAGG